rnacentral:lncRNA from 1 species
CCAAACCCGCGCAGAAUUUUAAAAAUCAGAAUCCGAACCCGACUACCAAACCCAAAAUCCGAACCUGAACCGGAGUCUGACUGAUUUCAAAAAUCCAGUUUCAAACCCAAACUCAUCCAAAAAUCUGGAAUCCGAAUCCGAAAUAAUUAUUUCUCUUUACAACAUUUCAAAACAUAUUAAAUUAGACCUAAAUUUUUGAAACAAAAUUCAAAUAUAACUUCAAAAUCCAUAUCGGAUUUGAAUCGGGUGCAGUCAAAAUUCAUAUCCAAAUCCAAAUUCGUUGGGUUUUUAUUUUUGAUAUCCAUAUUCGAAAAUAUAUUCGUUUAGCAUCAGAUAAAUUUGAUCCAUUCGAAUUCGAGUUCGGAAAAAAUUUCAGAUAUUCGUACCCAUUAACAAAGUUAUAAUUAAAAUA